AAGUCGUAACAAGGUUUCCGUAGGUGAACCUGCGGAAGGAUCAUUCAAAAUAAGUGUUUAAUGGCACUUGAAAUCCAUUACCCACCUUGUGUGCAUUGUAAAAAGGGGGAGAUUGGCGCGCAAGUGUCCCGUCUCUCCUUUUUCAUUACAUACUCUUUGUUUCACUGAUCAGUCUACAUCAAUGAGUAAUAAAAAAAAACUCUAAUACAACUUUCAACAACGGAUCUCUUGGCUCUC
rnacentral:misc_RNA from 1 species